GUGUUUGCUGUGACAGCAUGUAUCCUAAAAUUCUAACAAUUCAGAGAAAAUAAGCAUAGCCCCUGUGCAAAGAUGACACACAACUCCAUGAACUGUUCCAUAUUUUU
ensembl:snRNA U6 U6 spliceosomal RNA